CAAUCGGUGCUAGGGUUCGAUCUCCUCGUUCUGAUUCGCUGCCUCUCUCUCUCCCUCCCGCGCCCCCCUCCCUGGAUCCCUGCCCCGCCGCCGCCGUCGCCGCUCGCCCGCGCACCCGUCGCGCCUGCUCGUGGUGCAGCCACGCCUCCGCCGUGGCGCUUGCCUCCCGUGCACACGGCAGGUGCUCCGCCUCUUCCUCCCAUCCGGCCAGAUCUGCGGCGCACGGUCUCUCGCUCUAGCUCGCAACCCUCAGCCGUGGCUUGGGUUUCGGGCUGGGCAUCGCCUUCGUCGACGGCGCGGCUCCGUUGGACUCCGGCGGCUCCUCUCCGUCUCCUUCCUCGCCCCCACACGCGGCUCCACUUCCCGCUGGCCAUGGGGCUGGCCGGCAGCAGCGCCUCCCUCCCUCCCUCCCUGCCGCGGCCGGUCCCGCCGCACGGAGCAGCGCCGCUGACGGGUCCAUCGGCAGGUUGCAGGAAUAGCUUUAUAUUAGGAGCAGCUUCUCCACCACCACUCAGCGGUAGAGGAGGUGUGCUUCUUCCCCAACACAACAUAGCGGCAGCCACGGUAUCCUCGGCCCUCUCCCUCUAUCUACCCUCUUCUGUUCCUUACCGAAAAAUCAUUUUUUACCUUGUAUAAUACUUGUGAUUUGGACCGAUUUGUGUUUUGGGGGGCAUCAAUUUGGUGCUUCCCCUGUCCAUGUGCUGCAGAGAAAAGGAGAAGAAGGGGAUGGAUGAGCAAGGACCAGAAGGACCUAAAGAAGAAGGGCAAGGGAGGUGGGGCGAUAUGCAUGUCCAGGGAGGUCUCCGCCGGACGCCGCCCCCCCCCCCCCCCCCCCCAACGUGUGUCCAGGUCGUUGUUGCUUUUGGUGUUCUGCGUUCAAAGGGAUCAAGAUGGUGCCUUUCUUUGGGUCUGCAUUUCGUCCACUACUUCUCCCACCCAGCAGGGUAUGGUGGACGACCAGUUCCGGCAGCUGCAGUCGCUGCAGGAGGAUGGCGGCAGCGCGUCGGGCUUCAUCGCCGAGGUCGCCACCCUCUUCAUCGACGACGCCGACCGGAUCAUCAACGACAUCGGCAGCCUGCUGGACGCCGGCGGAACCUAGCCACCACUCCCCGCCGCGCCCCUCGUUGGUUACUUGCCGUGCUCGAUUUUUCCUUCCACGGACGAUUCUGUCAUUCGCCUCUACUGCCGGUGGUCGUGCCAGUCAUGCUCCUACUGGAUUCUUUUUAGAGGCCUUGCCUUGGACUUCCUGGAUCCUGAUUGUUGUUUCACGUAUCUGCUCUGGGCCAUUGCUGUUCUUCUACCACUCAUACAUAUAUUAUUUGACCAUUUGCUUUGCUAAGAUUCAAGACAUGCAUCCUUUAGCUAAAUUCAUCUUUGUUUGAUGUAGUUCUUUGUGAUCUGAAAGCAACUGACUACUCAAUACCAAUCAGUGCAUGGAGGGAACUCCUGUCCACCACGCCGGCGACAGGAACAUGGAAAACGCAGUCCACGGUGCCACCAAUGAACAAGGCCGAGACAAGCAUUGUAAGGAUCCCAGUUAGAAUGAUGCUUGAUCUCCUGUUAGAGCAUCUUGGGCUUCACAAGGCCAUCUGAGACUCAGGCUCAAUGAGAACACAAUGAGUGUCAUCGUUCUCUCUGACACCGCUAUUCAAGACGACCGGACCUGUCCACCGCGCAUGCCCAUUACUGGUGUUCAGUCCUCCAACGACAAUAUCUACCGUGUAUGAACAUUGCAUCCUCUAAUUUACCCUGUAUAUGAACAUUCCAUUCUUCAAAUGUGUUGUACUAUCGUUCUGAUGGCUAUGGAGAUGUGUUGUACUGUAGUUUUGGUAUCCAUUGAUGAUGUCUUGCUCCGAUUACACUUGAAUGUUUCUUUUUUUAUCCUGAUUGAAUAUAUAUGAUAAGCCUGGCUUUCUACUAA